UUCAAAGAAAUAACUGGAAUUUAAAUUAAAAAUAUUUUCUGGAUGCAAGUCUGGACAGCAUUCACAAAGAUAUACUUUAAAUAAGACCCUCAAACAUAAAUAUUAAUGCACUGAAAUAAUGUGUUGUCUACUACUCUGCCAAGGAAUAUUUCCACGAUGGAAAGUAGAUCGUUCUCCUUCUGCUAGGAAGAAACUAAAUCAGAACACUCCAAACAUGAACAAUAAGAGAGACUUGAAGACAGAAUGACCUUGGAACUCUGGUACAUGCAGCUGCUUUCACAUGUCACAGUGAACACUGUAGAGGAAAGAUGUUAGCUUGGAGUUCCAUUCUCUAUGUCUUCCAUGGUGUGUCUGGACUUCAGUGAUCUCCCCAAAGUGCACCCUUUGACUGGAUUAAGUUAGGAGUCUUUAUGGAGGAGCCCCCAGGAAUUAGCCCCCAGGAAUUACAGCAUUCAUUUUAGCAUCUGAUAGCAUGAAAUAUAUGGAGGAACACUGCUGUGUUCAGUUCAGUGCUCAGUUUGAUGUCUGUAGAAGUACAUCGUGUUAAUAGAGGGAACUGCAUAGUUUGGACAUCUAAUUUGAGUCAGUAAAAACACC